GUUAAUCAUCUAGGGUCACAAGACAUGGGUUUCUUUGAUGGCCUGAGUUAGUAUUUGAGAAUUUUUCAUCUUUCUCACCUGAGUUCCUCUCUGCAUCUUGCUGAAUUUACUUUUGUGGUCAUUUCAGUCUAAUUCCAAAUUUGAAAAGCUCCCCAGGAGACAUCUCCCAGUCUCACUGAAGGUCCUGUUCUGGUGUCCAUAACUCCAACUGUUGGGCACACCCGGCCUGACUGAACUCGACCUUCUACGGGCAAGACCUCUUCAGAAGCUGCAGAAGAAAGCUGCUGCGGGGUAAACUUCAGCAAGAUACACCAGCAGGACUACGCAGGCGGACGAUGCCAGGCCAAAUGAACUGGGCGCUCAAGAUAGUUAAUGUCCUGUCUG
rnacentral:lncRNA from 1 species